UUAUGGGCUAUGAGUGUGUGAUAGUUAAAGAGGGGUAUUCAUAGAGAAAUGCUUGGGCCUAAGCCCAAGCUCUCAAUGAACAACCCUGGUUCACGAACAAGGUCAUGAUGCAGAACUUCGGAUCUCAGUAAUAUGCCAAGCCUUGAGCACUCUUUGCAUCGCCAUCUCGAAAUCUCAGGUCCAAACGCGAUUUGCACAGGAAGUUACUCAAGAAUUCAAAUCCAUAACUCAAAUCGGUCCCGCGCAAUUAACAUGUGAGCGACGCAACCAGCGUGAAUCCGAGCUUCAAACUCUAAUCGAAGAACCAAGAAUCUUGAUCGAGCGUGGAAAUCAAAAUGCAAUCAUCGAAAAGGAGUUUGCGAAACACAAUUCUUGCAUGCGAAAUCGAAAAUAACAAAACCAAUGCAAAGCAGGGAACUCACCGAUUCAAAGUUUCGGCAUAGACAGGGCUAGUAUACUUAUGGCAUGACAAAUUUGGGCACGGAUUAAGGGAGCGACCAAGAUCGGCAAUGGUUAGGAAGUUCUUUGCUUCAAUUGAUCAUGGCUAUGAGAUUGUGGGUGAAUAUGGAUGUUAAAAAUCAGAAUUUUUAGGUCACAUGUUAGUUUAGAUUUAUUUUUUGGAACAUUCCAAUGUAAUGUGCAAUGAGUUUAUCACAUGAACUAUGUAUUAACAUGAAUUUGUGCACGUGAAUCUUUUAUGAAUAAAGGUUGGAUUUUGAAUGAAAAAUUGAAAAUUAAAUGAAA